CCCCCCCUCUCAAGCCUUUUUGUUUUUUCAAAGAAGCUUGGAUUACUUUGAAGAUGUAGCUUUUUAUGAGCCGCCCUUCAGAAAUUCAUAGGCAGUAUGGUUGUUCCUGAACCAGACGUAAUAAUAAUAAAACCGUCAGUUUGGAAGGAUUGUACUUGCCUCAACCCACCCAUCUCUUUUUUUU
rnacentral:misc_RNA from 1 species